CUCUCUCUUCUGAAACACGAAAGUAUACCAAUCCUUCGGGAAAGGGGAGAAUCCUAAGUGCUUCCAAGAAAAACCUCUAAGGCUAGGUUUAAACAAUCCGUACCGUAAACCGACACAGGUGGGUGAGGAGAAUAUCCUAAGGCGCUCGGGUGAGCCGCGGUUAAGGAAUUCGGCAAAAUUGUCCUGUAACUUCGGGAGAAAGGACCCCUACUUCGGUAGGGCGCAGUGAAAAGGCCUAGGCGACUGUUUAACAAAAACACAGGACUCUGCUAAAUCGUAAGAUGAUGUAUAGGGUCUGACACUUGCCCGGUGCUGGAAGGUUAAAGAAGGAGGUCAGCGCAAGCGAAGCUUUCGACUGAAGCCCCAGUAAACGGCGGCCGUAACUAUAACGGUCCUAAGGUAGCGAAAUUCCUUGUCGGGUAAGUUCCGACCUGCACGAAUGGUGUAACGAUCUAGGCACUGUCUCAACCGCGAGCCCGGUGAAAUUGAAGUAUCGGUGAAGAUGCCGGUUACCCGCAACGGGACGGAAAGACCCCAUGCACCUUCACUACAACUUUGCACUGAAUUUGAUUAAAUGAUGUGUAGGAUAGGUGGGAGACUUUGAAGUUGGAGCGCUAGCUCUAAUGGAGUCAUCCUUGAAAUACCACCCUUUAUUUGAUUAGAUUCUAACUCUAGAUAAGGAGGACACUGCAUGGUGGGUAGUUUGACUGGGGUGGUCGCCUCCCAAAAUGUAACGGAGGCUUCUAAAGGUACCCUCAGCACGCUUAGUAACCGUGCGCAGAGUGCAAUGGCACAAGGGUGCUUGACUGCAGGACUGACAAGUCAAGCAGGGACGAAAGUCGAGCAUAGUGAUCCGGUGGUUCCAUAUGGAAGGGCCAUCGCUCAAAGGAUAAAAGGUACGCUGGGAUAACAGGCUGAUCUCCCCCAAGAGCUCAUAUCGACGGGGAGGUUUGGCACCUCGAUGUCGGCUCGUCACAUCCUGGGGCUGGAGAAGGUCCCAAGGGUUGAGCUGUUCGCUCAUUAAAGUGGCACGCGAGCUGGGUUCAGAACGUCGCAAGACAGUUCGGUCCCUAUCUGUUGUGGGCGUUAGAAAUUUGAGAGGAGCUGACUCUAGUACGAGAGGACCGUGUCGGACAAACCGCUGGUGUAUCUGUUGUGACGCCAGUUGCAUUGCAGAGUAGCUACGUUUGGAAGGGAUAAGCACUGAAAGCAUCUAAGUGCGAAGCCUACCUCAAGAUGAGAUUUCUUUUAAGGGUCGUUGAAGAUUACAACGUUGAUAGGUCACAGAUGUAAAGUUGGUAACAGCAAAGUCGAGUGAUACUAAUAGCCCGUAGACUUUCUUUU
rnacentral:rRNA from 1 species